rnacentral:misc_RNA from 1 species
UUUCGAAUCACUCAAUUCUGCUAUGUGAAAUUUUGAUAUAUUGGUGGAGUGAUGCCAUGCAUUUUCUCAUAACUUUAGAAUGAAAGAAUGUACCAAGUCUGACAAUCAAAGAAAUAGACAUCCAAAUAUGGUUGUACAUAUGAAGUUCAAAAUUUUCAAUGAGCACAAUCAGAGAGAGAGACAGAGAGAGGGAGAGGCCUAUAUGGUAAAGAAAUUACUUUGGUCCCCUUUAAUAUUAUAAUCAAGUUACUAACAGACAGCAUAGUUUGACAAUUUGGCGACCUAUACAGAAUGUAAAUCAAGUCUAGGAACAACUUUCAUUCCAUGCAAUCAGCCCAAAUGGCGAAAUGAAAGCAUCCCUAAUAUAUUUCAAUAUGAACCUGUGUUACCAGGAUCGCUAAUUCUAAC